GAAAAUAUUCAAACUAUAUUGGAUGCAUUGCAAUCAUCUACAGUUGUGGAAGUAAAGGGAGAUACAGUAAGGAGGCGAAAUGAUUACGAUAGAUGGAUUAUUCGACCUGGUCAAAUUCCAAUUAUUUCAGGCUCCCCAUUAAGCCCUGGAAGUUCCAAUCAGGAUAUGUUGGCAGCUGGUGUUCAAAGUAUUGCACUAGAG
rnacentral:misc_RNA from 1 species